rnacentral:rRNA from 1 species
UACAGAGGUCUCAAGCGUUGUUCGGAUUCAUUGGGCGUAAAGGGCUCGUAGGCGGCCAACUAAGUCAGACGUGAAAUCCCUCGGCUUAACCGGGGAACUGCGUCUGAUACUGGAUGGCUUGAAUCCGGGAGAGGGAUGCGGAAUUCCAGGUGUAGCGGUGAAAUGCGUAGAUAUCUGGAGGAACACCGGUGGCGAAGGCGGCAUCCUGGACCGGCAUUGACGCUGAGGAGCGAAAGCCAGGGGAGCAAACGGG